rnacentral:rRNA from 1 species
UACGUGAGUGGCAAGCGUUAUCCGGAAUUAUUGGGCGUAAAGCGUCUGUAGGGGGUCUAUCACGUGAAGUGUAAAAGCCCCUGGCCUAACCAGGGUUUGGCAUUUCAGACUGAUAGGCUUGAAGAAGGCAGAGGCCAGUGGAAUUCCCGGAGUAGGGGUAAAAUCCGUAGAUACCGGGAGGAACACCAAUAGCGAAGGCAGCUGGCUGGGCCUUUCUUGACCCUGAGAGACGAAAGCGUGGGGAGCAAACCGG